rnacentral:misc_RNA from 1 species
GAUGAAGAACGUAGCGAAAUGCGAUAAGUAAUGCGAAUUGCAGAAUUCAGUGAAUCAUCGAAUCUUUGAUCGCACAUUGCGCCCGCUAGUAUUCUGGCGGGCAUGCCUGUCUGAGCGUCAUUUCAACCCUCGCCCCCGGCUUUUGCUGGGAGCGGUGUUGGGGAUCGGCCGCCCGUCACUGGGAGGCCGGCCCCGAAAUAGAGUGGCGACCACGCCGUGUGCUCCUCUGCGUAGUAGUAAAUCACCUCGCAGGCGGACAGCGGUGCGGCCUGCCGUAAAACCCCCAACUCUUUCUGGUUGACCUCAGAUCAGGUAGGAAUACCCGCUGAACUUAAGCAUAUCAAUAAGCGGAGGA